rnacentral:rRNA from 1 species
UACGUAGGGGGCAAGCGUUGUCCGGAAUUAUUGGGCGUAAAGAGCGCGUAGGCGGUCCGAUAAGUCGGCUGUGAAAGUCAGGGGCUCAACCCUUGGAAGCCGGCCGAUACUGUCGGACUAGAGUCCGGGAGAGGCGAGUGGAAUUCCCGGUGUAGCGGUGAAAUGCGCAGAUAUCGGGAGGAACACCGGUGGCGAAGGCGGUUCUCUGGGCCUUACCUGACGCUGAGGAGCGAAAGCGUGGGGAGCGAACAGG